rnacentral:rRNA from 1 species
GUAACUAUAACGGUCCUAAGGUAGCGAAAUUCCUUGUCGGGUAAGUUCCGACCCGCACGAAAGGCGUAAUGAUUUGGGCACUGUCUCAACAGCCCGCCCGGCGAAAUUGUAGUACCGGUGAAGAUGCCGGUUACCCGCGACAAGACGGAAAGACCCCAUGGAGCUUUACUGUAGCCUAAUAUUGGGUUUCGAUGUUGCAUGCACAGGAUAGAUGGGACACAGGGAAACAAGUGCUUUGGCAUUUGUGGAGUGGCCGUUGGGAUACCAUCCUUGCGAUAUUGGAAUUCUAACCUGCGCCUUUGAAUCAAGGCGGGGGACAUUGUUAGGUGGGCAGUUUGACUGGGGCGGUCGCCUCCUAAAGAGUAACGGAGGCGUUCAAAGGUUCGCUCAGCUUGAACGGAAAUCAAGCAAAAGAGUGCAAACGCAGAAGCGAGCCUAACUGCGAGACUGACGGGUCGAGCAGUAACGAAAGUUGGAGUUAGUGAUCCGGUGGUAUGUGAGUGGAAAUGCCAUCGCUCAACGGAUAAAAGUUACCCUGGGGAUAACAGGCUGAUCUCCCCCAAGAGUCCACAUCGACGGGGAGGUUUGGCACCUCGAUGUCGGCUCAUCGCAUCCUGGGGCUGUAUUCGGUCCCAAGGGUUUGGCUGUUCGCCAAUUAAAGCGGUACGCGAGCUGGGUUCAGAACGUCGUGAGACAGUUCGGUCCCUAUCUGUCGUGGGCGCAGGAUAUUUGAUGGGAGCUGUUCCUAGUACGAGAGGACCGGAGCGGACGUACCUCUGGCGCACCAGUUGUUCUGCCAAGGGCAUAGCUGGGCAACUAUGUACGGAUCGGAUAAACGCUGAAAGCAUCUAAGCGUGAAGCCGACCCAAAGAUAAGAUAUCCCAUUGUUUCAAACAAGUAAGACCCCUUGAAGACUACAAGGUUGAUAGGCACGAUGUGUAAGUGGAGUGAUCCAUUCAGCAAGCGUGUACUAAUAGGUCGAGGGCUUGACCAC